rnacentral:lncRNA from 1 species
UACAAUUGAAAUUAUUUUAAUUUCUAAACAAAGUGAGUAAAAUGCAACAUAAUGGCAGUAUACAAAAUAAUGAAUGGCGCAAAGAAGGUACAUAUAAGUACUCCAAUUUACACUUUUCACAUAAAAAGAGAACAAAGGGACAGUCAAUAAACCCAAACAGCAGCACACGUACAAGGAUAAGCGAAAUACUGUUGUUCUAAUGCAGUGUGCAUAUUCACCCAGAGAGCUCGCUGUUCCACAAUAUCGUUAAAAUCCCAGAUGCAGAGAGACUUGCAGAAAAGGGACAGGAAUGUACCUGAAAGAAAAGAACAUUUGGAGUUAUAUUCACUAUAUGUGAGUUAUAUCAGCACUGAGGUUUUAAGAGAGAAAUUGUACAAACAGGAAUAAAUGGGAGUGGGGCAAAGAUCCCCAUGGGCAGAUUAUUCCAAAAAUUGCCUUCUAAGGAAUGUUGUGUUUCUCCUUUCUCUGAAGCAUUUACAUUGGCUAUUAUGACUUUAAACUGACAAAGGGUAGAUUUAGACUAGAUAUUACAAAGAAAUUCUUUCCUGUAACAGUGUUGAGGCACUGGCACAGGUUGCCCAGGGAAGCUGUGGCUGCCCCAUCCCUGGCAGUGUUCAAGGCCAGGCUGGACGGGGCUUUGAGCAACCUGGUCUAGUGGAAGGUGUCCCUGCCUAUGGCAGGGGGUUGAGACUGGGCGAGCUUUAAGGUCCCUUCCAACCCGAACCAUUCGAUGACUCUAUUAGCAGCAAUCAGUGACUGGAGAAGACAAACUACUUCUUAUCCCCAUGUGCUCUCUUCUGCAGCAAGGCCAGAGUACCUUCGCACCAGCCCUGUCCCCAUGAUCGCCCAAAGAAAUGGCUUUUCCCCUUCCCUCCCCGCAGCCACCUGGUCAGUGAAGCACCGACCAGGGCCAGCCCAGCGCGCUGCUGCCACCAGCCUCGCUCCCUGUAGCAACCUCCUUGAAGACUGCUGCAGUUUUGGUGGCUGUAGGGGCCACCAAGUAGCAUUGCGUGGAAGCCUAAACCCAGUUCCCCAGGCUAGGGUGCAGCUGCAGUGGGUUGGGGCUGCCUGGGAAAAGGCAGCUGCUCAGGUGGGUGCCAACUCCCAGCUUGCUCGUUCCUUGUAGCCAAGGAACAUCUCACAUCCUCAGCCAUAUGUGACUGAAGGAGGUGAAAAUAAUCCCCUUUUUUUUUUAAUUGACAUGCAGUGGUAUCUCCCUUAUUCAUCGUCAAAACGAACUGAAAUUAAACUCGGUAACAAUUCUGCAUGGUGUUGGAAAUGUGGAAGGUGGGAGUAUUCCUGCCCAUGGCAGGGGGGUUG